GUUAUUAAAAACAUGGCUUUUUGAUAAUAAUUUAAGGUCUAACCUGCCCAAUGAUAAGUUAAAUGGCCGCGGUAUUUUAACCGUGCAAAGGUAGCAUAAUCAUUAGUUUUUUAAUUGAAAGCUGGAAUGAAAGGUUGAAUGAAAAAAUAACUGUCUCUAUUUAAAUAUAAGAAUUUUAUUUUUAAGUAAAAAUGCUUAAAUUUAUAUAAAAGACGAGAAGACCCUAUAGAGUUUAAUAAAUUUUUAUAUUAUUUUUUUUAGUAUUCAAAUUUAUAAUAUAAAAAUUUAUUUAAUUGGGGUGAUUGAAAAAUUGAUUAAACUUUUUUUUUAUGAAUCAUUAAUUUAUGAUUAUUUGAUCCUUAAUUGAAGAUUAAAAGAAUAAAUUACCUUAGGGAUAACAGCGUAAUUUUUUCUUAGAGUCCUUAUUGAAGAAAAAGAUUGCGACCUCGAUGUUGGAUUAAAAUUUAUUUUUGGUGCAGAAGCUAAAAAAAUAGGUCUGUUCGACCUUUAGAAUUUUACAUGAUCUGAGUUUAAACCGGUGUAAGCCAGGU
rnacentral:rRNA from 1 species